GAUGAACGCUGGCGGCGUGCCUAAUACAUGCAAGUCGAGCGAACAGACGAGGAGCUUGCUCCUCUGACGUUAGCGGCGGACGGGUGAGUAACACGUGGAUAACCUACCUAUAAGACUGGGAUAACUUCGGGAAACCGGAGCUAAUACCGGAUAAUAUAUUGAACCGCAUGGUUCAAUAGUGAAAGACGGUUUUGCUGUCACUUAUAGAUGGAUCCGCGCCGCAUUAGCUAGUUGGUAAGGUAACGGCUUACCAAGGCGACGAUGCGUAGCCGACCUGAGAGGGUGAUCGGCCACACUGGAACUGAGACACGGUCCAGACGCCUACGAGAGGCAGCAGUAGGGAAUCUUACGCAAUGGGCGAAAGCCUGACGGAGCAACGCCGCGUGAGUUAUGGAGGUCUUCGGAUCGUAAAACUCUGUUAUUAGGGAAGAACAAAUGUGUAAGUAACUAUGCACGUCUUGACGGUACCUGAUCAGAAAGCAACGGCUAACUACGUG
rnacentral:rRNA from 1 species